CUACGGGUGGCUGCAGUCGCGAAUCAUUUACAAUGCACGCAAGUGUGAUAAUGCGAACCAAAGUGAAUUCCAUUUAGGAAUUCUUUUCUCCACUGCAAAAAGGUGGAGGAAUAAGGACUGGGCAAGACUGGUGCCAGCCGCCGCGGUAAUACCAGCAGUCCAAGUAGCAUCCAACUUUAUUGGGUCUAAAACAUCCGUAGCUUGCUAAUCAAGUUCCUUGUGAAAUUCGGCGUCUCAAGCGUCGAGCGCGCAAGGAAUACUGGUUGGCUAGAGAUCGGUAGACGUAAGGAGUACGCCGGAGGUAGUAGUAAAAUACGUUAAUCUUCGGUGGACUAACAAUGAGCGAAGGCACCUUACGAGGACGAAUCUGACAGUGAGGGAUGAAGGCCAGGGGCGCAAAACGGAUUAGAUACCCCUGUAGUC
rnacentral:rRNA from 1 species